GGUAAUCUGGCUCUGGUGGAGAUCAAUCCCAGAAUUCCCCACCCCCCAGUCAUUCCUUCCUUCAGUCAGAAGCAGACAUGGUGUGUGGAACUGGACCAGGGGAAGAAGUGGCUCUCUUGCCUUCUUAGCCCAUCUUAUUCUCUAAUUUCUGUAUCCCAUGCAAAUGUCCUUCCUGAGGUUCUAGCCAACCUCAGCUGGUGGUCUCAGUUACCAUAACGAACCUUAGAAUAAAAGAGAUACCUGUUAUUACCUAUAUAUUUAUUUGGAACUCCUCCAACCAAUCAGACUAACUGAGCUUGUUUCUUCCUUAGGCGAGAGGCCGGCCAGAACAAAGGGGGAAAGGCUCCCAGCUCAGUGUGGGAGCCUUUCCCCAACACCUAUUUUGUUUUGGCCAAAUCCCUGGAGAGACGUGGCGAACAUCAGGGCCACGCCUCCAGGGAUGAGGCUCCAGCGCCAGCUCCUGGAAUGAAGAACCGAACAACAUCCCGGCGGUUCCCGGCUGUCGUCCCUCGCGGCGCAUCCCCACUGCCCCUUCUCCGUAUGGGCAUGGCUCCAUCCCGGCCCGGUUUGGCACAGAAGCAGCAGCCAAAGUUUCCUCCCAUUAAAAUAGCUUCUCAGGUGAUUUCUGAGAGG